rnacentral:rRNA from 1 species
UACGGGGGGGGCAAGCGUUGUUCGGAAUUACUGGGCGUAAAGGGCUCGUAGGUGGCCAACUAAGUCAGACGUGAAAUCCCUCGGCUUAACCGGGGAACUGCGUCUGAUACUGGAUGGCUUGAGUUUGGGAGAGGGACGCGGAAUUCCAGGUGUAGCGGUGAAAUGCGUAGAUAUCUGGAGGAACACCGGUGGCGAAAGCGGCGUCCUGGACCAACACUGACACUGAUGAGCGAAAGCCAGGGGAGCAAACGGG